AAUCCGAGCUGGUCCGUGUGCUCGAGAUGGGAAUAUUUACCGUCUUUACAAGGACAUCGACAGGGGAGCGGCACCAUGAGGAGACCACCGGGUGCUGAGAACAUUCUUCAUCAGCGCCGCCUAUGCGAAGUCUCCUCCCAGGAAGCAAACUGCGGAGCAGCCGGGGCGGGAAAGUCAAAGUCAAACUGCACUGACUGGGGAGCUAUGGAGGGAGACUUCACGAGCGCCAGCCGGUUCAGUAACUAACUCCCAGUGACGUCUAGUGGUGAAAAAGACACUCAUCACCACCGAGUCCCCACGCUUGGAUAGUGUCGGAAGGGAGACCCCUGGGAGAAUUCUGUGCUGUUCGGACUCACUGGUUCUGAAUUGAGAACCAAGUGCCUGAUGUGGACAGUCACCUGCAAUGACAUCUGUUCAUCUGUCGGCACCCUUCUCUGAAGCCACCACUUUAAGAGGAAAAGGCAAACGCAACCUGAUACCUUGGAAGUAAAGGACAUUGAUGUGGGGAGCUUUGUAGUAAGGCUGCUGUUAACGAUUAGUAUGUGGCUAAUUUGGCUGCAUACUUUGCAGACUACGACCUGGGAAGAUUCUAGGCUGAGAAAAGAGCAUGCAACAC